rnacentral:rRNA from 1 species
AUUGAACGCUGGCGGAAUGCUUUACACAUGCAAGUCGAACGGUAGAGGGGGCAACCCCUCGAGAGUGGCGAACGGGUGAGUAAUAUAUCGGAACGUGCCCAGUCGUGGGGGAUAACGUAGCGAAAGUUACGCUAAUACCGCAUACGAUCUAAGGAUGAAAGCGGGGGAUCGCAAGACCUCGCGCGAUUGGAGCGGCCGAUAUCAGAUUAGGUAGUUGGUGGGGUAAAGGCUCACCAAGCAAACGAUCUGUAGCUGGUCUGAGAGGACGACCAGCCACACUGGAACUGAGACACGGUCCAGACUCCUACGGGAGGCAGCAGUGGGGAAUUUUGGACAGUGGACGCAAGUCUGAUCCAGCCAUUCCGCGUGCAGGAUGAAGGCCCUCGGGUUGUAAACUGCUUUUGUACGGAACGAAAAGGUCUCUCUUAAUACGGGGGGCUCAUGACGGUACCGUAAGAAUAAGCACCGGCUAACUACGUGCCAGCCGCCGCGGUAA